UCCGAAAAAACCGAACCGAGAAUCGAACGGGUACCCAAAUAUAUAAAAAUAUUAAUUAUAUAUACAUAUAACAUAACUAAAUAUAUAUUUUUAAUUGAAAAAUCUAUUAAAAGUAUCCGAAAAUAAUUGAGAAUAACUAAAUUAUUGUAAAGUAUCUGAACUACCCGAAAGUAUCUGAAACUAUUUGGAUAGUUUUAUUUGAAAUAUCCAAACUAAUCCGAAAUAUCCAAACUUCUUAUUUAAAUCAUCCUAAUUAUUUGAUAUUUUAUCCUAAAUAACCGAUAUUUUAUCCGAAUUAUCCGAACUACCCAAAUCCAAACCGGAACCGAAUGAGAACCGAUGUUUUUCUGGAUAUUUUCCGGUUCUUAAUUUUAGUAUCCGAACCGAAAAUAGGUCAAGUAGUAAAUGGAUCCUCUACCCCUCUACCCGAACUACCUGAAACCCGAAAUAUCGAAAUACCUGAACCGAUACCCGAAAUGCCCAUGCCUAUACUUUGGAUAGGGAUUUGACUGUUCAUGAAAAUGGAUCAAAUUAACCCAUAAAUUUUCGAAACAAAGCAACCACUCCGAAGAAGGAAAACAAAUUAAUAGGAAAGGGGUCUUUCUGUGAGAUGUCAAUCUAAGUCCCACAUUGAAAAUUAGACAAAUGAGAGUAUAAUAUAUAAAGUGAUGUCCAUCUCUAAUUAGAACGAGGCCUUUUGGAGGAAGUCCAAAAGUAAAUCCAUGCGGACCUGCCUCUUGCGCCCAAAGUGGACAAUAUCGUACUAAUCAGACAAUAUAGAGUUGGACAUGGGAUUUUGCAAUCCCAACAAUUGGUAUCAGAGCGGUUUGACGAGAUUCUGCAAGAAGACCAAAAUACCCUUAAAAUAAGAAUGAGCCUCUUCAAAGUGGAAGAGAAGGUCUAUGGCAGAAACGUCAAAAUAUCAUGUAACCUGUGAUGUUGUGGGAGAAAGGAAUGAGAUGUUAUGAAAGACACAUUCUCAAAGGAAAGCCCUGCGAUUACUGGUACAAAGUGGUGCCAAGAUAAUCCGCUGAAGUAAGAAUACACGAGAUGAGUGUGGUCCUUACCUUGAGGGGGAGAAUGUGAGAUGUCAAUCUAAGUUCCACAUUGGAAAUUAGACAAAUGAGAGUCUAAUAUAUAAAGUAAUGUACAACUCUAACUAGAACGAGGCAUUUUGAAGGAAGUCUAAAAGUAAAUCAAUGCGGGUCUGCCUCUUAAGCCCAAAGUGGACAAUAUGUACUAAUCCGACAAUAUAGAGUUGAACAUGAGAUUUCGCAAUCCCAACACUUUCUAUCAUUUUAACUUGCUUUAAAAAAAUGGAAAGUUCGAAGGUGGUGGAUCAAAAAGACUGCCAAAAAGUAGACAGAAUUCUUCUGAACUUUUAAAAAUUUGAUACUUCAAAUUGUUACCUAUUACACCAAUCAUGGAUCAGUCAGUUGAAUAAGCAAGAUGACUUACCUCGUAUCUUUAAGAUUAAACAAAAGUUAUGAUUGGUUUGACAAGGUUAUCGUGAUGUUAGCACUUAUUAUAUGGAAAUGUGACACUGUGGGACACUUGCACUAAUUUUGGUGAACUCCUGCUUUGCAUCUGUGGACAUUGCAAGUGCAAAAUGGCGCACGUAAUUGGAAAAAUAUGUUAGAUCAUAGUUGUGUGGGCAGGCCGGCCCUGAGGAAUGUUACGUGAAAUAUUUACAAGUUACAACAGGUCUCCGAAAUUUUUGAAAAAAAUUACAUAGACAUAAGUUUCUAAAAAAUAAUUUUUAGACUCCUAAAUUGAUAAAAAGAUUUUUUCAUCUAAAACAUUGUCACAGACCUCCAAAAUCUUAGGGCCCGGCCCUGUGCGUAGAUUACUGAUUUUCCGGUUUUCAGAUUCUAAAUUGUGCGUAUGGCUUGAUCAUGAUUUCCAGAGAACAAUAUUACAUCUUACCAACAGCUUUUAGCAUACUCCAUAAUGUUACAUGAAGUCUCUGUUAACAUUAACUGUAUAUAGAGACUUCAAAAUAUGAUGAUGAGGUUAUUUAUCUUCUUCUUUUUUAUCAACAGUCAAUGACUCAAUAUUAUAUUCUAAUCAGAAUUGAAAGAACAAGUAUAACUAACUCUGUAGACAGAUUAAACAAAACUAUCAACUUCAAGUGACUUGCAAAACAUUGUUAUCAGUGGUCCAAAUUCCAAAUCUUUGAAUAUUAUUUUCACAAGCAAGCUAAAGAAAGUUCCAAAUUUCACGAGUGAUUCCAAACGAAAACAUAAAAACAGGGGUUCACAUUGUUAAAUACGCUAAGGAGCAGAGUUGGAAGUGGAGGUCUUCUUGAAAUCGAUCUUGUCGACUUUAACCUCUCCGUCGAUGAGCUCAUAGACAUAGACCACAACUCGAAGACCAUCGAUAU